AUGCGAUAAGUAGUGUGAAUUGCAGAAUUCCGUGAAUCAUCGAGUUCUUGAACGCACAUUGCGCCCCUUGGCAUUCCAAGGGGCAUGCCUGUCCGAGUGUCAUUACAAUCACUCAGGUUUGGAUUUAUCCACUUCCUGGUUUUGAUUACGGAGCAUUGUUGAUGUUCCAAUUCGAAAUGAAAUGGCGCAAAUGGUUGUCGGUUCUGUGUAAUAAGUUUUAUCCUUCACAAGUCGAUCCAUUAUUUGUCGCUCUGUAUUAUGACGCUCCUCCUUAUGACCCCAGGUCAAGCGGGGCUACCCGCUGAGUUUAA
rnacentral:rRNA from 1 species